rnacentral:rRNA from 1 species
GAAUUCGCCCUUAGAGUUUGAUCCUGGCUCAGGACGAACGCUGGCGGCGCGCCUAACACAUGCAAGUCGAACGAGCGAGAGAGAGCUUGCUUUCUCGAGCGAGUGGCGAACGGGUGAGUAACGCGUGAGGAACCUGCCUCAAAGAGGGGGACAACAGUUGGAAACGACUGCUAAUACCGCAUAAGCCCACAGGUCGGCAUCGACCAGAGGGAAAAGGAGUAAUCCGCUUUGAGAUGGCCUCGCGUCCGAUUAGCUAGUUGGUGAGGUAACGGCCCACCAAGGCAACGAUCGGUAGCCGGACUGAGAGGUUGAACGGCCACAUUGGGACUGAGACACGGCCCAGACUCCUACGGGAGGCAGCAGUGGGGAAUAUUGCACAAUGGGGGAAACCCUGAUGCAGCGACGCCGCGUGGAGGAAGAAGGUCUUCGGAUUGUAAACUCCUGUUGUUGAGGAAGAUAAUGACGGUACUCAACAAGGAAGUGACGGCUAACUACGUGCCAGCAGCCGCGGUAAAACGUAGGUCACAAGCGUUGUCCGGAAUUACUGGGUGUAAAGGGAGCGCAGGCGGGAAGACAAGUUGGAAGUGAAAUCUAUGGGCUCAACCCAUAAACUGCUUUCAAAACUGUUUUUCUUGAGUAGUGCAGAGGUAGGCGGAAUUCCCGGUGUAGCGGUGGAAUGCGUAGAUAUCGGGAGGAACACCAGUGGCGAAGGCGGCCUACUGGGCACCAACUGACGCUGAGGCUCGAAAGUGUGGGUAGCAAACCAGGAUUAGAUACCCUGGUAGUCCACACCGUAAACGAUG